UAGCGCAGAGGACACUUUUUUUCUUUGUAGCAUGUGGCUAACAUAUAAUGCACUUGUUACCUCUUCGGAGAUUUAGAUAAAGAAUAACGAUUGACGCUUUCUCCUGCCUGUGUUUUAUUGCUUAAAUCGAGGCAUUCCAGUGGGGUUUGGGGUGUCUGUAUUCAUAAUUUUCUUCCACACCCGGCACAUGAUGCUUGCUGUGAUAGGCUAUAGCUGCCUUGCGAGUCUACUCAGGAUAAGCAGGUUUGAAAAUGGACGGAGAGAUGGAUUGAACAGACGUCUACCAGGUUGGAUUCAAUGUUAUAAUUUUUUUUUUUUUGCCAUUUACACAGUAAAGAGAAACAUUUGGAUACGUUAAAGAGAAACGAGAAACUGAGUCACAUGAACCCGGCGGCAUUGAUAUUGUUAGAAUUGCUAUUCUUCCGGAACCAGGGUUCCCAUAGUUGUAUUCCAUGUAUUUUUUUGAUGUGUACACAGCUGGAAAGUCCCAUCAAUGCUGGGUGUGUCCAAAAAAAAAAAAUCAGAAGUGGGUCAGGUGACACUGGUUGUGUCGACGCAAACAAUCAGCCCGCAUUCUCCGAAUCAUCGUCGCUCUGGAAUGGAAGUCCCCAAGGUUGUGUUCCACGUGUGUGUUUUAGACACACAAAUCGGACCCCCGAUCUGGUGAGACUGGUUUUGUCCACACCGUCUGCAGCUUUGCACCUUUCAGAAUCAGUUCUGUUUUGGAAUGGAGAUCCACAAAGUUGUCUGAGCACCGAAAAUCAGAACUGGUGUCAGUACGAUAUCGGAGAAUCUUCACUAAGUUGGGUUCCAUGUGUUUUUAUUUUUAUUUAUUUUUGUUGGAUCCCCAAAAAGCUGGAAUCUGAUUGGGUGAAACCGUUAAUGUCCAUAAAGUCUGCAGUCCAAUCAGUGGCCACAAAUUGCAACAGGGUUCAAACCCUCGACUCGUCACAUUGGGGGACCCCUGAACGAGCCAGGUAGCCCACUGACAAUACGUUUGGGAUGGCAUUCACAAUGAAAGGUGCUACAUAAAACAACAUUUGUUGCUUUUUCUACAUAUUUUUUUUUUUCUACUUUCUUGGACGUUACAAAUUGGCAGCAUGGCCUGCCUGGCGCUGCAAAGCCUCUGGAGUGUGCAGCAUGAGGGAAGCAGACAGACAAACACAGAGUAAGGCCAUUGUGUGCAAGUCGACCAAGUUCAGGCGGAAAUGCAGAUGACGCAGCUUAAAGAAAUUCUCAAAAUGACAGCAAGUGUCCUCCUCGACCCGCCCGUCACCUUCCCGUCACGGACCGCCUUUGCUCGCGUAAUCACAUCCAUGCAGUGCGGUCUUCUUGGAGUAUGGAGGGCAGAAGGGUCUCGAAUGAAAUCCUCCACCAAAAAAAAAAUAAAAAAGAA